rnacentral:pre_miRNA from 17 species
AAGUGUGCUCUCUGCAACCCUGUCCUGCAUAGGUUGGGAUUUAUUGCAAUGCUGACAAAUGCACUUGGUAUUGCACUUGUCCCGGCCUGUUAAGGAUGGUGGGCAUAGUUGGAAUUAGCA